UAGGGAAUCUUCGGCAAUGGGGGGAACCCUGACCGAGCAACGCCGCGUGAGUGAAGAAGGUUUUCGGAUCGUAAAGCUCUGUUGUUAAGGAAGAACGAGUGUGAGAAUGGAAAGUUCAUACUGUGACGGUACUUAACCAGAAAGGGACGGCUAACUACGUGCCAGCAGCCGCGGUAAUACGUAGGUCCCGAGCGUUGUCCGGAUUUAUUGGGCGUAAAGCGAGCGCAGGCGGUCAAUUAAGUCUGGUGUGAAAGCCCCCGGCUCAACCGGGGAGGGUCAUUGGAAACUGGUUGACUUGAGUGCAGAAGAGGAGAGUGGAAUUCCAUGAGUAGCGGAGAAAUGCGUAGAUAUAUGGAGGAACACCAGUGGCGAAGGCGACUCUCUGGUAUGUAACUGACGCUGAGGCUCGAAAGCGUGGGUAGCAAACAGG
rnacentral:rRNA from 1 species